rnacentral:rRNA from 1 species
GACGAACGCUGGCGGCGUGCUUAACACAUGCAAGUCGAACGGAAAGGCCCUGCUUUUGUGGUGUGCUCGAGUGGCGAACGGGUGCGUAACACGUGAGUAACCUGCCCUUCACUUUGGGAUAACUUCAGGUAACUGGGGCUAAUCCCGUAUAGGAGCUCCUGCUGCAUGGUGGGGGUUGGAAAGUUUCGGCGGUUGGGGAUGGACUCGCGGCUUAUCAGCUGGUUGGUUGGGUAGUGGCUUACCAAGGCUUUGACGGGUAGCCGACCUGAGAGGGGGACCGGCGUCAUUGGGACUGAGGUACGGCGCAGACUCCUACGGGGGGCAGUGGGGGGGAAUAUUGCACAAUGGGCGGAAGCCUGAUGCAGCAACGCCGCGGGCGGGAUGACGGCCUUCGGGUUGUAAACCGCUUUCGCCUGUGACGAAGCGUGAGUGACGGUAAUGGGUAAAGAAGCACCGGCUAACUACGUG